rnacentral:tRNA from 1 species
GAGGGUUUGGCUCAGUGGUAGAGCGCGUGCCUAGCAUGCAUGAGGUCCUGGGUUCAAUCCCCAUUCCCUCC